rfam:Candidatus Haloredivivus sp. G17 Contig4, whole genome shotgun sequence.
GCCGGAGUGACUGAGUGGCUAAAGGUGCCGGUCUUGAAAACCGGUGACCCUUACGGGUCUCCUGGGUUCGAAUCCCAGCUCCGGCG